UACGGAGGGGGCUAGCGUUGUUCGGAAUUACUGGGCGUCAAGCGCACGUAGGCGGCUUUGUAAGUUAGAGGUGAAAGCCCAGGGCUUAACCCUGGAAUUGCCUUUAAGACUGCAUCGCUAGAAUCGUGGAGAGGUGAGUGGAAUUCCGAGUGUAGAGGUGAAAUUCGUAGAUAUUCGGAAGAACACCAGUGGCGAAGGCGACUCACUGGACACGUAUUGACGCUGAGGUGCGAAAGCGUGGGGAGCAAACAGG
rnacentral:rRNA from 1 species